rnacentral:lncRNA from 1 species
AGGUAAUCGCGGCUGGAUCCGGCGCUGAAAAUCAGAUCACGGAUCCGGGAGGAAGGAGACCACCACGGACAGCUGGGUGUUGGGCUCGGGAUGCUGCUAUGAACCUCACGAACGGCUGGGAGGCGUGUGAGGCAAGCGGAAGAUGAGCAGAUCGUGGAUCCGGGAGGUGAUCGCGGGACUUGGGAUUCCUUGCUUGUUCCGUUGCAGAAGGAUGCGAAGAUGCUAGGAACUCAGGGGAUGCAAGAUAGACGCUGGCUCACACACGGAAAAGGAAUGGCUGAAGAGCCGGCUGCGGGAUGGAGGAGGCGGCUUCACAGGCUCGGGCGGACGUUUGGGUGCGGGAGAAUCGCGCAUGCUUCGCGGAAGAACGGAGGAGGCGGACGGCUGGGACGCUGAUGGACGAAGGAGCUGAUCGUGGAGAUCUGAGAGGAGCUGGGAUGAGCGGACGUGGUCGCGGUGGAGAAGAUGGACGGCUGGGAAAUCCGUUGCGAGAGGAUCGUGGAAGGCUGCAGGGGGGCGCUGAU